rnacentral:rRNA from 1 species
AUUGAACGCUGGCGGCAGGCCUAACACAUGCAAGUCGAGCGAGCGGCGGACGGGUGAGUAAUGUAUGGGGAUCUGCCCGAUAGCGGGGGAUAACUACUGGAAACGGUGGCUAAUACCGCAUACCAUCGGAUGUGCCCAGAUGGGAUUAGCUAGUAGGUGGGGUAACGGCUCACCUAGGCGACGAUCCCUAGCUGGUCUGAGAGGAUGACCAGCCACACUGGAACGGAGACACGGUCCAGACUCCUACGGGAGGCAGCAGUGGGGAAUAUUGCACAAUGGGCGCAAGCCUGAUGCAGCCAUGCCGCGUGUAUGAAGAAGGCCUUCGGGUUGUAAAGUACUUUCAGCGGGGAGGCGUUACUCGCAGAAGAAGCCACGGCUAACUACGUGCCAGCAGCCGCGGUAAUAC